GGACAGUCUGGUGGCAAGGCUGGAGACAGCUAACAUAUUCUCUUCAGGCUCCAAGCGUGAGUCUGAGCCUGGAGAUGGGGCCCAGUACUCUCAGCGUUCCUAACGGAUUCCCUGGGAAUUCUGAUAGCCAAGUUUGGAAAGCGUGGAAGUCAGAAUGUGAUGCAAUCGAGCAGGCUUCCACCUUGCUCGUUACAGUCGCAUUCCACACAUGCUUUCUGGUGACAACACCCACAUCACCCUAGGAACAUGGGUGUUCCUAACUUGUCAGAUCCUCAUGCACCCCGGGCCCUGGGAGGACGUUCCUGUCACUGGCUGCUUCUACCCUGAUUUCGUCCUCAGAGUAGCAGUCCCGAGGUUGAGUGUGACCCCAGAUCACCCCUCCCGUGGAGGUGCUUCUGCUGGGGAGGACCCGCAUGCUUGCUUGUGUUUACGCCUGGGGAAGCCCCUCUUGGCAAGAUGCUUGGAAGAGGCUCCAGAAGGCAGAGCUCAGAGGACGACUUGGUGUUUCAGAAGGAUUCACUUCAUGGUAGGAAAUUCUUUCCGAAGGAGAUGUCCACCAGCAGUGCCCAGAGUGAGCCCUGCCCAGAAAACCCCACCCCGCCGUCCCCGCACCUAGCACGAGGGAGCAGAACCACACUCCUGCACCUUCCGUGUUCCCGGCCCUCUACGUAAGCAAUCCCGUUGAAUCUUCCAAACAGCCCUGUUGACGUUGUCCUCGGUUUACCGAUGAAGAAUCAGGCCUGCAGAGCGUAAGUCAUUUGCCCAAGGUCACAUCUAAAAAGUAGUGAAGCCAGAUAGGUCCUGCUCUUCCCCACCUGCCCAGCUGUCCCCCACCCCAGAAUUAGAAAGUAGCAAGCUGAAGCUGCAUCUUGAUCUCCCUGAGGUGUCAUCAAGAAAACACAGGAGUCAGAGAUGAAGCCUCCAGCCACAGGGAAGUUUGACCCACCUCGUGCUCCAAAACCCGUUUGGGCGACACAAGCAAAUAAAGUGUCGGCGUUUGCAUGAGCAGCCUCCCAGCACAGAAGAGGAUGCACGGGGAUCUGACGCUAAGAGACAAGCUCUCCCACACGCGGCGCUGGGGACAAGGAGGAGGCCGUCUGUUCCAUCCCUGGUAGUCCCGAUGGGAAGUCCUCUGUAAGAGACAGGAAAACACAGCACCUGCCCACAGCAG
rnacentral:lncRNA from 1 species